AGCGAACGCUAGCGGCGGGCCUAACACAUGCAAGUCGAGCGCAUACCUUCGGGUAUGAGCGGCGGACGGGUGAGUAACGCGUAGGUCAUCUACCCUUUGGUGGGGGAUAACCCAGGGAAACUUGGGCUAAUACCGCACGAGGUCCACGGAUCAAAGCCUUCGGGCGCCAGAGGAUGAGCCUGCGUCGCAUUACCUAGUUGGCGGGGUAACGGCCCACCAAGGGGACGAUGCGUAGCUGGUCUGAGAGGAUGAUCAGCCACACUGGGACUGAGACACGGCCCAGACUCCUACGGGAGGCAGCAGUGGGGAAUAUUGCGCAAUGGGGGGAAACCCUGACGCAGCCACGCCGCGUGGGUGAUGAAGGCCUUCGGGUUGUAAAGCCCUGUCGGGAGGGACGGAAUUCUUGACGGUACCUCCAAAGAAAGCACCGGCUAACUCCGUGCCAGCAGCCGCGGUAAU
rnacentral:rRNA from 1 species